rnacentral:rRNA from 1 species
AGGGUUCGAUCAUGGCUCAGAACGUACGCUGGCGGCACGCCUAACACAUGCAAGUCGAACGAAGUAGCAAUACUUAGUGGCAGACGGGUGAGUAACAUGUAGGUAUCUACCCUUUGGCCUGGAAUAACACGAGGAAACUUGUGCUAAUACCGGAUAAGUCUUUACGGAGAAAGCUUUAUGCACCAUUGGAUGAGCCUGCACUUGAUUAGUUUGUUGGUGGGGUAAUGGCCUACCAAGACUGUGAUCAAUAGCUGAUUUGAGAGGAUGAUCAGCCACAUUGGGACUGAGACACGGCCCAAACUCCUACGGGAGGCAGCAGUGGGGAAUCUUGCACAAUGGAGGAAACUCUGAUGCAGCGAUGCCGCGUGAGUGAAGAAGGCCCUUGGGUUGUAAAGCUCUUUCGUCGGGGAAGAAAAUGACUGUACCCGAAUAAGAAGGUCCGGCUAACUUCGUGCCAGCAGCCGCGGUAAUA